AAAAGAAGACUCCUUAUCCAAGUCUGUCGCUGCUUUAAUGCACUGAGCGCCCGGGUGCCCGGCACAUGACACGGUAUUCGGCAGUGUUGGGUGGAGAGCUGCAUUCCCUGAACUGCACAGGAAAGCGGGCAGGAAACGCCACUCCAAGCCCAGUCAGGAAAGGAAAAGCCGCUGAACACAGCCCGAGCCACACGCAAGCGUACCCACCGCCCCCAGAGCCAAGACACCAGCAUGGUUGCAUCAGUACACUCUGUUCCUUCACUAGAGUAUCAUCAUUGGUAUCUGACAGCAUAGUGUUUGCACGCACGAGAAACCUUCUCCGAAUAUCCAUUCAUUGGCAGCUGGACUGGAGAAGUAUGACCUACAUUGGCAGGAAUUUUCACAGCUGGACGCCAUAGCAUUCCAGGGACAGGAAAAACGCGGGAUCAUUGUACAGUAUCUUGGACCAUCCUGUGACGUUUUCUUCCCAGUCUUGGAACACUGUGAUAGGAGUCCUGGAAAACCCUGAUGAGUCAACAUCCUGAGUUCUGCUGAAAAACACACCAUAAAGCAUGGAUUUGUAGACCUGGACUGCAAAGCCAUUUAAACACACAUACACACACACACACACACACACACACACAGACACACACACACACACACACCCUAGAACCUGGCAGAACAGUGUGUUCCAACUACUCUCUGAUGUUUUUGGAAAAAAAGAGUACACAUAAAAUUUGUGUGUGUGAUGAAUUAGUUCUCAAUAGUGGCCAUUUGCAUCUAGUAGAUGUACAAAUUUAGACUGUGGAAAUGAUGUGGAAUUGACUGGAGUGUUUGGGGUGAUCUUGAGUGCUAUUUCAUUUUCUAUAAUGAACCUGUAAGAACAGGUAUGAAUGUGAUACCUGACAUAAGCCAUAAACUUUUUCAACUUGUCGUCCAAGCUAGGUUGUAGAAAUUCAUAAGGUUAUGUUAUUACUCUAGAUGUAGACGUAGUUAUAUACUUUAAAGUAACAAAUUUCACUUGGCUUGACAGAGUGUGUAUGUCAAAUAUUACACUAGAACAUGCAUACUGAUUAAGUGAAGAGACUCAUCAGUAGCAGAGCACACUGACUUGAGCUUUUUCUCUUUGACACAAUGGAUGCCACUUGCAAUGGUUUCCUUGAACAGAGCACUAAGUGAUAUCUCCCUCUCUCUCUCUCUCUCCCUUUCUCUCACUCACUCACUCACUC